rnacentral:rRNA from 1 species
GAUGAACGCUGGCGGCGUGCCUAAUACAUGCAAGUCGAGCGAACGGACGAGAAGCUUGCUUCUCUGAUGUUAGCGGCGGACGGGUGAGUAACACGUGGAUAACCUACCUAUAAGACUGGGAUAACUUCGGGAAACCGUAGCUAAUACCGGAUAAUAUUUUGAACCGCAUGGUUCAAAAGUGAAAGACGGUCUUGCGGUCACUUAUAGAUGGAUCCGCGCUGCAUUAGCUAGUUGGUAAGGUAACGGCUUACCAAGGCAACGAUGCAUAGCCGACCUGAGAGAGUGAUCGGCCACACUGGAACUGAGACACGGUCCAGACUCCUACGGGAGGCAGCAGUAGGGAAUCUUACGCAAUGGGCGAAAGCCUGACGGAGCAACGCCGCGUGAGUGAUGAAGGUCUUCGGAUCGUAAAACUCUGUUAUUAGGGAAGAACAUAUGUGUAAGUAACUGUGCACAUCUUGACGGUACCUAAUCAGAAAGCCACGGCUAACUACGUG